rnacentral:misc_RNA from 1 species
GAUGAAGAACGCAGCGAAAUGCGAUAAGUAAUGUGAAUUGCAGAAUUCAGUGAAUCAUCGAAUCUUUGAACGCACCUUGCGCCCCUUGGUUAUUCCAAAGGGCAUGCCUGUUUGAGUAUCAUGAACACCUCAACUCUUGUGGUUUCCCACAAUGAGCUUGGACUGUGGAGGUUUUGUUGGCCCUGUGGUCAGCUCCUCUCAAAUGGAUCAGCUUACCGGUGUUUGGUGGCAUUACGGGUGUGAUAACUAUCUACGCUCGUGGUCGUCUCCAAAUAACCUCCAGUGAUGGAGGUUCGCUGGAGCUUAUAAAUGUCUCUCCCCAGUGAAGACAGCCUUUGAACGUUCGAUCUCACAUCAGGUAGGACUACCCGCUGAACUUAAGCAUAUCAAUAAGCGGAGGA